AUACGUAGGUGGCAAGCGUUAUCCGGAAUUAUUGGGCGUAAAGAGGGAGCAGGCGGCAGCAAGGGUCUGUGGUGAAAGCCUGAAGCUUAACUUCAGUAAGCCAUAGAAACCAGGCAGCUAGAGUGCAGGAGAGGAUCGUGGAAUUCCAUGUGUAGCGGUGAAAUGCGUAGAUAUAUGGAGGAACACCAGUGGCGAAGGCGACGAUCUGGCCUGCACCUGACGCUCAGUCCCGAAAGCGUGUGGAGCAAAUAGUAUUAGAUACCCUAGUAGUCCACGCCGUAAACGAUGAGUACUAAGUGUUGGAUGUCAAAGUUCAGUGCUGCAGUUAACGCAAUAGGUACUCCGCCUGAGUAGUACGUUCGCAAGAAUGAAACUCAAAGGAAUUGACGGGG
rnacentral:rRNA from 1 species